GCUGGAAUAGCUCAGUUUGUUUGGGCGUGUUGCUGCUAACCUCAAGGCCGGAGGUUCAAGCCCUCCUUCUUGCG
rnacentral:tRNA from 1 species